UACGAAGGGGGCUAGCGUUGCUCGGAAUUACUGGGCGUAAAGGGAGCGUAGGCGGAUAGUUUAGUCAGAGGUGAAAGCCCAGGGCUCAACCUUGGAAUUGCCUUUGAUACUGGCUAUCUUGAGUAUGGGAGAGGUGUGUGGAACUCCGAGUGUAGAGGUGAAAUUCGUAGAGAUCGGGUGGAACACCAGUGGCGAAGGCGCCUAUCUGGCUGACAACUGACGCUGAGACUCGAAAGCAUGGGGAGCAAACAGG
rnacentral:rRNA from 1 species